CUCAGAUUCUACCAAUAUGGACAGCACGUAUUACUCAUAUAGUUUGAAGUCUUAGAUCUCCCAGAAAUGUAGAAAAUAUUUUUUGCAGUCAGUGUUACUUCCAGAAGUUGUCUGAAAUUAUGACUCUCCCCCUCUGUUUAGAACCAUAUAAGUCCUGGGGUUUUGUGUCAUGUAAGAAAGGGUUGGGAAUUGAAAAGAACAGCUGUUAGGCUUCUUUCCAACUCUGAAGCCUGGUACUCAAACUAGAUUUAAUUUGAUCUAGAAAAAUGCAAAAAGGUUUUCUGUUGCUUAGGUUGGCUCAAGUCUGUGGAUUGGGGUCUCGUCUGCUUCACCAGUACCAGUGGCUGUCUGGGGCAUGCUAUUCGCAUUGGAGACCACAGAAAUGUAAGUCAGCAGGCCAAACCACACAGACUUAUGUAAAACUUCUGCUUGCAUCACAUUUGCUCACAUUCUGUUGUCCUAUACAAAUCACUUGGCCAAGCCCAACUGUAGUGGGCUGGGAUACAUACUCUGCCUACAGUGGGAGGCAGUGAAAAGUCACAUGGCAAAGAGUGAGGAUGUGCAACUUUAUUAGGAAGUGAGUGAAGAAUUGAGAGUAAUAAUCUUGUAUAUCAUAAACCUCAAAGCAGCUGUGUGGAUUGUCUAUUGUUAACUCACCUUCAUCCCUGGCCCUUAUAUUAAAUGUACCAAUUGCACUGCAUUUCAGGGGUGAAGCUUCACAUAUUAAUUGGCUUUGGCUGCCAUAACAAAACACUAUAGACUGGCCAGCUUAAACAACAGACAUUUAUUUCUCACAGUUCUGGAGGCUGGGAACCUGAGAUCAGGGUGCCAGCAUGGUUGGCUUCUGGUAAGAGCUCUCUGCUUGGCUUGCUGCCUUUUCACAGUGACAUUAUGUGGUGGGUAGAGAGAGGGAGCAAGCUUUCUGGUAUCUUUUUAUAGGAGCACCAAUUCCAUUAUGGGGGGCCCACCCUAAUGACCUUGUUUAUUAAAUCUAAUUAUUUCCUAAAGGGACUGUCUCUAAAUAUCAUCACAUUUGGGGGUUAGGCUGUCAACAUGUGAAUUGUGGGGGGACACAUUUCAGACCAUAGUACCCAAGAGCAAUAUUUUCUGAAACCCCUAGCCUACUGGGUCAGAUUCUGUUAAUGAGAAACACUUAAUUGGGAUAUGCAAUGUUGAAAAUUAGAGGACAUUGUCUGUCAGCAGGUGGGCAGGUAAAAGGCAAAGAGCAUGAAUUUACUUUGAAUUCUGGCUACUUUUCCCAAUCACUUGCUUUGGUGCGGGGGGCAGCUGAGAUGGGCCAUCAGCAGAGGUUUUUCCAUGAUGCUUGUCUUCUCACUUCUGAAAGCAGCGGUUUCCCUGAUUUUGUAAGCACUUAUUAUGUUUUACUGACGUUAAGAUGCCAUCCAUGGUGUCACUAAGAAAGAAAAAAGCUACCAUUAAAAAGCUAAAAUUUU
rnacentral:lncRNA from 1 species